rnacentral:lncRNA from 1 species
CUCACUGCAACCUCUGCCUCCCAGGUUCAAAUAAUUCUCCUGCCUCAGCCUCCUGAGUAGCUGGGACUAUGGCUGCAUAUCACCAUGCCUGGCUAAUUUUUGUAUUUUUAGUAGAGAUGGGGUUUCACUAUGUUGACCAGGCUGGUCUUGAACUCCUGACCUUGUGAUCUACCUGGUUCAGCCUCCCAAAGUUCUGGGAUUACAGGAGUGAGCCACCAUGUCUGGCCUGAAUGUCUUUCUUCUACUUGUUCAAUUCUAUUGGUGAGACUUUCUAGAGCAUUUUGCAUUUCUAAAACUGUGUCCAAAAUUUUCUAAUUUUUUUUGUUUUUAAUAUAAGUUAUCUAUUUCCGCAAAUAAUUCUUUCUUCACUUUUUGCAUAAUUUUUUGGAUUUCCUUGCAUUGGGCUUUGCCUUUUACUAGUCCCUCCCUGAUUAGCUUAAUAACUAACCUCCUGAAUUCUUUUUCAGGUAAAUCAGGGAUUUCUUCUUGGUUUGGAUGCAUUGCUGGUGAACUAAAUGAUUUUUUUGGGGUGUUGAAGAGUCUUGUUUUGUUGUAUUACCAAGGUCCUACUUUCAGAAAAUAUAAAGAAAGCAAGGAAGGCAUGAGGAACAAAUGGAAAGGUAAGAUAUGGAAGUCAAGUUUGCUUUAGAUUAAUUGGGAUAGGAGAGAUUUUUUUUUAGACUUUACCUUUAAUUGUAGUUAUUUUUGUCCUGUGGUUUGUCGAGUUUUCAAAACUCAUUAGUGUGCCAUAAGGAGCCCUCAUGGCCUGACUGGAGCAUUUUUCUUCAGUUUCGUUUCUUUCUUCAGAACACAAUUCAUGCCAGACACACCAAUAUGAUCUCAAUACUAUUUCAUAAAAAAUCUCCAAAUCAACUAAAAUAGCUCUAGUUCAUUCCUCUUGAUUGUUACAUAAUAUUCCAUAAUGAGAAUGUAUCAUAAUUUAUUCAACCAUUCCCUUGUAAAUGGAUGCUUACAUUGGUUCCAGUUUUUAUCACCACAAACAAAACUGUAAGAAGCAACCUUUUACACAUAUCAUCACAUGUUCGUGGUUCUAAGACAAUUCUAGGAGUGGAGUUUCUGGGCAAAAAGAUAUAGAUUUCUAAUUUUAAUAUGUGUUGUUCAACUUACUUUAGAAAGAAACUAUGACAUUUCAUAUUUACACCAGCAAUUUAAUAAAGUAUAAUUUUCCUCAUAUUAUCAUAAAAAAGGUGUAUUAGCCCAUUUUCACACUGCUAUAAAGAUUUACUUGAGAACAAGUAAUUUAUAAAGGAAAGAGAUAUUAUUGACUCAUAGUUCCACCAGGCUCUGGAGGCCUCAGGAAAUGUGCAAUCAUAGUGGAAGGCAACGGAGAAGCAAGCACCUUCUUCAAAAAGUGGCUGGAGACACAGAGAGUAAAGGAGGAAGUGCCAUUUUUAAACCUUCAGAUCUUGGGCAGACUGACUCAUCAUCAUGAGAACAACAUGGGGGGCACUUCCCCCAUGAUCCAAUCACCUCCCACCAGAUCCCUCCCUUGACACAUGGAGAUUACAAUUCAAGAUGAGGUUUGGUUAGGGACACAGAGCCAAACCAUAUUAUUCUGCCCCUGGCCCUCCCAAAUCUCAUGUUCUUUUUACAUUUCAAAACCAAUCAUGACUUCCUAACAGUCUUCUAAAGUUUUACUUCAUUCCAGCAUCAACUCAAAAGCCCAAGUCCAAAGUCUCAUCUGAGACAAGGCAAGUCCCUUCUGCCUUUAAGCCCAUAAAAUAAAAAAGUUACUUACCUCCAAGAUACAAUGGGGGUACAGGCAUUGGAUAAAUGUUACUGUUCCAACUAGGAAAAAUUGGUCAAAAUGAAGGAGCCACAGGCCCCAUGCAAGUUUGAAACCCAGGAGGGCACUUACUAAAUCUUAAAGCUCCAAAAUGAUCUUCUCUGACCCCAUGUUUCACAUCCAGGGCAUGCUAAUGCAAGAAAUGCAUUCUCUUGACUUUUGGCAGCUCCACACCUGUGGUUCUGGAGGGUACAGG